UUUUCAAAAAAUCUACUUUUACGUGAAAGUAACUGCUUAGGUAGGAGAAGAUUGCUAAUUCUUCUUUUUGGGAAGAGUUUGGGAAUUAUGGAAAAAAAGUGUCUACAGUCAGUCUUAAAUAUUUGCUGUCAUUUGGGGGUGUUUCUAAAACUGAACCAGAAAAAAAAAUACAUUCAAAAAGUGAUUAUUAACUUUUUCAGUCUUGAUCAAAGUUUAAAUCUAGUUGGCUGAAGUAUAAACUGUUUGUAUCUUUUUGGCAUAUUUUUUCAUACUUACCGAAAUCUCAAAUAAUUGACAUCUCAUGAGGAAGUUUCUUUUCAAGAUGUUUUUUCGCUUGUUUCAUAAACAAAAGUGCUUGUGACCAAGAGAUUGGGAAGUUCAGGAGGUCAGAGGUUCAUGUGGAUAAUAAGAACAAUGAGAACUAUACUCCAGGCUAAAAGAAAUGCUGGAUAUGUGGUUAAAUAGCAUGUUCAAUGCUUAAACUGAUUUAGAGAUAAGGAUGUAUGGCAUAUGUUGGCUCACCUAAGCCAUCUACUGAGAUUUUUUACUUUUCUUUGGUUUUUAUUAGUCCCAAAGUCAAACAGAUUGAACAACAGGUCUUCACCUGUAACAGUGAACCUAAAUUCCCGCUUAUUCACUGGAAGAAGUCAGAGUUUUGUGUUUUGGAUCAGUUUGAAUCUCCAGGGUGAAAGAAGUAUCCAGAAGAGUGCCAGUAAUACUCUUAAUAGUGUUAACAGUGUGUUACUAAAUGGCAUCUUGUGCACUGCAGAGAAACCUUUCUAUCAGCACUAACUCAGAUUCUCUGAAGCAUUUUGAUCUGGGCAGUUGUUAGUAGUAUAUUUUCUUCCACUGAUUAUAGUACAACAAUAGUAUAGCUAUAACCUAUGGUCCUCUCAUCAAUGAUAAUAUCACAGGAGUCAUGAGAGGAUUUUGGAGUAGUUGGUGUGUGCUGGCAAAGAUCACAGUUUGUCCAUGAAAACUCACUAGCAUAGUGGAAAUGCCAAGUUCUUUUUUUGUGCAACUGAAUUUUGCAUUUCAACAUACGUGUCCUAGGAACCUCCUGCAAGUGACUCAGCCUUAGUUCUUCUAUAUGGCUAUCCAUCCCUCAGACUGUUUUCCUUGGCCUGAUUACAGAGAGGAAGAAAUCACAUUUGCAUAUGAAGAGUAUCCUCAUCUUAUUUAUUUAUUUUUUCUCCUCUUAUAUUCUGUGCAUAAACAUCCAUCCUUCUGUGUCGUUGAUUAUUAGUAACAAGACACUUUUUUAAAAACUUCUGUGCAUGCUUCAGCCAGUGUUUUCAUUCCCAUUUUUUCCUAUUCAGAGGCAGUCUCUGCUUACUGUACAUCUACCUUGUUUAUUCUAUUUCCACUUCUCUUUGACGUUGUGAAGAGAUUGAUCAAGGCAAACACCUCCGUUCCCCUCAUCAGAUGUUAAGAUGCAAUGUCUUUUCUUAUUAAGCAGUUGAGGAGGCUUGUGUAGCUGGUUUCUUCUUAUGUGAAUCAGUAUCUCUUUAUUCCUUUGUGAUUUAUUGCUUCUGGAAAUUAGGAGAGAAAUGGGUCUUAAUGUGAUGGGCUUGGAAAAGAGACUAGCAAAACCUGUCAUUGCACAAUUCAGGUAUAAGAAAGCUGCUGUUAUAUCCCUCCAAAGCCUCCUCUUCUCUAGUCUGGACAAUUCUGCAUUAGUUAGCCUUUCCUCUUACGGUAGGUACUCUAACCCCUGGACCAUUUUGCUGGCCCUUUGCUGGACACAUUCCAACUGUGAAUAAGUUCAUGAUCUUUGGAAACACAGCAAAGAUCUCCAAAACACGGAGCAUUCUCUUGUGUCCAGUAAGCACUCAAACAUCUUUCAACUUGGAUACCCUGGAAGGCUGAAAGGGAAGAAACUGUUUGUUUUAUACCCUGUCCCUCCUCCAUCCCAAUUGUUUUUUCAUUCUGACUAUAAGGUAUUUCAGGGGGUGACAGCUUGGGGCAGACAUGGGAUACAGAGCCAAUGUUUUCUCCAUUUCUGUCCCACUAGAACUUCUCCUUGCAUUUGCAAUCUGCCCAGCUUCAUAUGUAGCUUCUCCAAAUAUUGUUGUCCAUCCAAAAAUUAAUUUCAGAAAUUGUG
ensembl:lncRNA